GAUGAACGCUGGCGGCGUGCCUAAUACAUGCAAGUCGAGCGAACAGACGAGGAGCUUGCUCCUUCGACGUUAGCGGCGGACGGGUGAGUAACACGUAGGUAACCUACCUAUAAGACUGGGAUAACUUCGGGAAACCGGAGCUAAUACCGGAUAAUAUUUCGAACCGCAUGGUUCGAUAGUGAAAGAUGGCUUUGCUAUCACUUAUAGAUGGACCUGCGCCGUAUUAGCUAGUUGGUAAGGUAACGGCUUACCAAGGCAACGAUACGUAGCCGACCUGAGAGGGUGACCGGCCACACGGGAACUGAGACACGGUCCAGACACCUACGGGAGGCAGCAGUGGGGAAUCUUCCGCAAUGGGCGAAAGCCUGACGGAGCAACGCCGCGUGAGUGAUGAAGGUCUUCGGAUCGUAAAACUCUGUUAUUGGGGAAGAACAAACGUGUAAGUAACUGUGCACGUCUUGACGGUACCUAAUCAGAAAGCCACGGCUAACUACGUG
rnacentral:rRNA from 1 species